rnacentral:sRNA from 1 species
AGCGGCAACAGCAGGCGUACGCACCAAUACGCGCCCUGGGCGUGCCAGAGCAGUCGUCCGCCCUGCCAGCCGGCCAGUCGUCGGGCGGCUUCCACGGCCGCCGGCAGCCAGCGCCGGCCUUCUUCCGCCUGGCCGAGGAUGUCCAGGCGCAGCCGGCCGUGGCGUGCGUCCAGCGCCGGAUUCAGUGUGAUGCGCUGCCACGGGCGGGCCUGCGCGGCGCCGCCGAGCAGGCCGUAGAGCGCCUCGUGCAAGGCCGGGCGCCAGCUUUCCAGCGGCCAGGUGCCGCGUUCCGGCAGGUUCAGGUCGAGGCGCGCCCAGCGAUGCCGCAGUUGCUGGGCGACCUGUCCCAGCUCGACCGCCAGGACCAGCGAUUGCGGUUCGUCGCCGGGAGGUUCCGGCGGCGGCGCGAUGGCCUGGGCGAGCGGGCGUUCAUCGAGGAACAACGAAGCGGGAAGAGUCAUGCCGGAUGCUCCUGGGGAAUUGUUCAUCUGGGCGCGGCGUCAUUCGGUCGCCUUGCGCCGUAGCGGCAGGCUGAGGGUGGCGAUGAAGCCGCCGUCG